CCUCCCCCUGCCGCCUUGGCGACCAACUGCAGCCGCCUUCUUCGCCUCGCGCUCCCUCCUCGCGCUGCUCUCCUCCCUCCCAAGCGUCGCUGUGACUUCCUCCUCCCCCGCCCUCUCUCUGUCUCUUUCUCCCUGAGAGGAACAGUCUGCGGCGCGAAAGACCAACAGCGACGGCCGGCACUGCGCAUGCGCUGAAGCCCUGCGCGCUUUCUCUGCUACACUGAGAUAAAGAGUAGCAAACCAGCACUUAGAAAAGUCGGCUGAUUCCCAUGUGGAAAAUUUCAUGCAUGAUGCUGCAAUACUAUACUCUGUUACCCAGGUCCAAGUCUCAUUGAAUUUGUACCAAAUAAAAAAAGAAGUAAAGCCCAGGAACACAUCUACUUUGUUAACUGUGAUCAGAAAGGAUGGCAGCAUUACAUCUGUCAGUGUCACCGCAGAGUCAUUCACAGAGAGCACCAGGGUCUGCCGAGGUCUGGGAGAAAGGGAAGUGAAAGAGAUACGGACCGAGAACAGAAAUUGGAAGUCAUUUUAACAGAUGGCAACUUGUUGAAAGCUGGACCCGGAGGAGCAGUUCACUUGACAAAAUAUAAAAUUGGUUUUGGCUACAUGACAAGUCAAAUGUUCAUUACCGCAGGCUGAGUGGUUUUCUGAUUGGGAUGGGAAAAGAUUGCACACUGCAUUGGAGGCUUAGCUGAAAACCAAGCUGGCCAGCAGGGGAGGCAUUUAGAAAGGUCCCUUCGGGUGUUUUAGAUGACAUGUGAUUAUCACUCACAGAAACGCCCUGAUAACUCACUCGAUUUUUUAUUAUUAUUUUAUGCAUCAGCAAUGUCAUCAUUAGCAAUUAUGGGCACAAUCCUAUACUGAAGAUCCGCCGGCAAGGAAAAGAGAAGAAGCUGCCUUCUGCUGAGACAAUUUGCCCAAUAUUAGCAGCUUUGAAAGAUGUGCCUAUAAAAAGGAAAAGAGGGAGGAAAGGAAUGUAGCCUCAAUUUUAAGACUGUGUUAGCCAGUGCUUUUGUAACCAUAAAUCCAUAUCUUUAGAUACAGUGUUAAGUGGUAUUAAAACUUCAGGUUAUAAAGUACACUUAUACAGUUGUGCGAGUAGGACAGGAUGUAAUAAGAUCCAAAAAGAUGCGAACCAUGUCCCUUGCCCUACUUUUUCAAAGGGCUGAAUGAGGUGACCUUUAAAGUGUAGAUGUAUGGAAGCAAUCAAUCUGCUUGCCAAAAGUCAAAACUUUCUCUGAGAAGAUUCUUUUUGCCAUGUGUGCAGUAGAGAGAACUCUUGUAUGAAUAUAUACAAUGCUCCGUUCAGCCAUUGUCUUUGUUCAUACCCAUUAAUGGAUUGGAAUUUGGGAAUAUAAUUCAGUGCAACAGUUUCUGGUCUUCCUUUGUAAUUUCUGUGUUUCAGGACUGCCACCCAUAAAUCCCUUACUCUAAGUACAAGCAGGAGCCCCUGGUGGCACAAUGGGCUAAACCGCUGAGCUGCUGAACUUGCUGACUGAAAGGUCAAUGGCUCAAAUUCGGGGAGUGGGGUGAGCUCCCACUGUUAGCCCCAGCUUCUGCCAACCUAGCAGUUCGAAAACAUGCAAAUGUGAGUAGAUCAAUAGGUGCCGCUCCAGCGGGAAGGUAAUGGCGCUCCAUGCAGUCAUGCCGGCCACAUGACCUUGGAGGUGUCUAUGGACAAUGCUGGUUCUUCAGCUUAGAAACAGAGUUGAGCACCAACUCCCAGAGUCGGACACAACUAGACUUAAUGUGGGAGGAAAACCUUUACCUUUACCUAAGUACAGGCAGUCCCCAAGUUACAGACAUCCAACUUACAAAUGACUCAUAGUUAAGAAUGGGGGUGAGACAACAGGAAAUGAGAGGAAUCUAUCCCUCAGAAAGGAAACCCACUCUUCAAAGUGAUUUCAUGGGGAAAAGCUGUCUCAGCUGAAGCUUUCUCGCCAAUCCUUAUUUCUGUAACAAGCCCAUUUUUUCACAGUCCAAUUACAAGGACAUAAAGUGAGGUGAAAUCUUCCAAACAGGCACAGGCAGCAAACCAAACACCACAUGGGCAUUAACUCUUCCCUAGGCUAUCCAAAGCUAAUAUAUACAGGGUGUCCCAAAAAUGUAUACACACUUUAAAAGCUGACUGCUUAAUUAUUGUUGUUGUUUUUUCAGGUUAAACCCAUUAGAAUUAAUAAUGGAAGUCAGACUAAGCUUUGAACAAAGGAAAUUCAUUUCAAAAUGCUACUGCAGGUGUGAAAACAUAGUUGAAGUGCAAAGACAAUUUAGGAGGGAGUUUCAAAGAGAUCCACCAACACGACUUAGCAUUAGUUGAAUUAGAGAAAAGUUUGAAUCCGAUGGAACUGUUCAAAAUGUCCAUGAGAAACGUUCUGGAAGGCCAUGGAUAUUGACAAACUCCACAAAGGAAGAAAGAGUACUGGGAACAUAUCACUGAAGCCCAAGAAAAUCUAUGAGACAAGUGAGGCAUGAGGUAGGUAUCUCAAAACACAUUUUGAAGGGCUGUCAAUGGAAAAGUUACAUUCCAAGAUUAGUCCAUGCUAUUAAUGAAUAUGAUUCAGACUGAAGAGUUGAGUAUUGCAAGUGGUACUUGGCAUUAUAUGUAGAGAAGGCACACUUUCCAACAAAGAUUGUGUGGAGUGAUGAGGCUACAUUCAAAUUAGAUGGUUUAAUAGUUCAACUCAACUCUUGACAGCACUUCAAAAUGAGUUGGGCAGACAUUUUUGAGAUACCUACCUCAUGACUGGCUUGUCUCACAGAGACUCUAAAAACCUGCUGGGUCCACAUAAGAGACCUGGGGGGUUGUCUACAAGUGCACAACAACCCAGUUGCAAUUCAGAGUAUUUUGUCUUGGGGCUGCCCCGGUUUGGGGGUGAUUGACUCACCAUGAUGGGAGUUGCAGUUCCCCCACAUCCAGAAAGCUCCAUGACCCCCACCAAUGAUGGAACUGGACCAAACUUGGCACACAUACCCAUCAUAAAGGUAAGUCUAGUGUGUCUGACUGGGGGUUGGUGCUCAUCUCCAUUUCUAAGCUGAAGAGCCGGCAUUGUCCGUAGACAUCUAGGUCAUGUGGCCAGCAUGACUGCAUGGAGUGCUGUUACCUUCCCACUGAAGUGGUACCUAUUGAUCUACUCACAUUUGCAUGUUUUUAAAUUGCUAUACCCAUCAUACCCAACUUUAAAUACUGCUGGGAUUUUGGGGACAGAGAAUGAUGGGAGAUUUUUGGUUCACCCGCAUCCAGAGAGCCCUGUGAACUGCACUGAUGAUAGAUCUUGACCAAACUUGGCACACAUACCCAUAAUGACCAACUUUGACUACUGGUGCAUUUUGAGGGCAAUGACAUGAUGAUGGAAGAUACUCUCACCCAUAAUCAAAGCAUCCUAUAAACCCCACUGACAACAGAUCUGGAUUAAACUUGGCACAUAUACCCAUCAUGACCAACUUUAAUUACUAGUGCAGUGUGGGGGUAGUGACAGAGGAUGAUGGGACUAACAGCCCACCCAUAUCCUUAUGCAUUUUCUAUUGGGACCAUUCAUAAAAUCCAAACACAAACAAAGACUCUUUCUAAUGUUCAUUCUUAGAAAAAUUCCUUAUUAUUAUCAUCAUCAUCAUAUUUAUUUUUAUCCUAUUUUUUCUCUCCAUAUGAAGACUCCAAGGGGCUAACCCUAACCCAGGAGUGGGUACCUAAGCUAGUAAUAUUAUUGAGACUCAGUUGCAUUACCCCUUUAAGAAGGUAAACCCUUAAGCCUCCCAGGCCGAUUUCUCAAUGAGGCUCUGGGAAGCCAAGGAGAUAGAGAUACAGGAUUAUUUGCAAGUAAACAAUCUGUGGGUAGUAGCAUGAAAAUGAAAGUGUCACCACGAGGCAUAGGUCGGCUGAGGCUUUUAUAGGAUUUCCAAGUACAUUUCACACCUCCAAACAUCCUCUUUUCCCAUGAUAUUCCCUUUUAUCCUGCAUAUAUGGUACUUUCAUCAGUUGUUUAUCAAAAUAGUUUGAAUAGGCAAUUUCCCCACAAUUUCCCAAUUACAAUCAUUCAAUAUAUCAAACACCAUUUGGAUUUCCUGUGUCCUGUUUGAGGUUCUCAUUUGGUUGAAUCAGUUAAAAU